UUCAAACUCCCUCCGUUCGGAAUUACUUGUCGUAGAAAUGGAUGUAUCUAGGCGUAUUUUAGUUCUAGAUACAUCCAUUUCCGAGACAAGUAAUUCCGAACGGAGGGAGUACAUU
rfam:Triticum urartu cultivar G1812 contig1077197, whole genome shotgun sequence.